rnacentral:rRNA from 1 species
GGAGGCAGCAGUUAGGAAUCUUCGGCAAUGGGCGAAAGCCUGACCGAGCGAUACCGCUUGAAGGAUGAAGCCCUUCGGGGUGUAAACUUCUGAACUCGGGACGAUGAUGACGGUACCGAGGUAAUAGCACCGGCUAACUCCGU